GGGUGAAAAUGGGCUGAUUGCUUCAGGACAUGCGGGAUUAGGGUUUAAAAAUAAGGGGGGGCUAUUUUGGGGUAAAAAACAAGGGAAAUGGGGUAACUUAUUGUGGGUGUUGGGGGGGCAAAAUUAAUUAAUUGUGAGGAUUGUGGUUUGGGGUGAAAAAUGGGAGAAAUGGGAUAAUUAGUCCCAGGGUGGGGGGAGUGCAAAAUUAACAAAUCUGGAGGAUUAGGUUUUGGGGUGAAAUAGGGUGAAAACAGGUCAAUUGCUCCUAAAUGUGGGGGUGCAAAAUUAACUAAUUUGGGGGUUAUGUUUUGGGGUGAAAAGGGAAGAAAUUGAACCAAUUGCUCUCAGGUAUAGGGGUGCAAAAUUGACUAAUUUUGGGGAUUGUUUUUUGGGGUGAAAAAGGGCAAAAAUGGGGUGAUGGCUCUCAGGAAUGGGGGUGCGGAAUUAAUUAAUUGUGGGGAUUACAUUUUGGGGUGAAAAGGGAGGAAAUUGGGCCAACUGCUCUCAGGUGUAGGGGUGCAAAAUUAAAUAUUUUUGGGGAUUGUGUUUUGGGGUGAAAGGGGAGGAAAUUGGGCCAGUUCCUCUCAGGGCGAAAAUGGGACGAUUGCUCUCAGGUAAAGUUGCACAAAAUUAAUGAAUUCGUGGGGUUACAUUUUGGGGUGAAAAAAGGCAAAACCAAAGGAGGCUUUUUUGGGGUGAAAGCAGGAGGUUUGGCGACUGUAACGCGCCCCAGAUGAAGGGGAUUUUGGGGGAAAAACGGACCGAUUUGGGGGAAAAAAAAAAUGC